rnacentral:rRNA from 1 species
AAGGAUCAUUACAGAAUUUUGAGAAUUGUGCUUAACUGCACUUUUCUUAUCUACACACGUGUUUUUGUUUUAUUCUUAAAACUUGCUUUGGCAGUGGCUGCUUAAUUGCUCUGCUGCCAGAGGAUAAACUCAACCUAAAUUUUUUAUUUUAAACUAGUCAACUGAUUAUAUUUAUUAAUAGUCAAAACUUUCAACAACGGAUCUCUUGGUUCUCGCAUCGAUGAAGAACGCAGCGAAAUGCGAUAAGUAAUAUGAAUUGCAGAUAUUCGUGAAUCAUCGAAUCUUUGAACGCACAUUGCGCCCUCUGGUAUUCCGGAGGGCAUGCCUGUUUGAGCGUCAUUUCUCCCUCAAACCCCCGGGUUUGGUGAUGAGCAAUACGCCAGGUUUGCUUGAAAGUUAGGAGGAGUAUUUAUAACAAUGUAUUAGGUCUAACCACUCCAUUGUGCUUAAUAAAAGCUCCAAUCUAUAUUUCAAACUUCGACCUCAAAUCAGGUAGGAUUACCCGCUGAACUUAA